AACCGAGGUCUUUAUCUCCUCAUCCUUUCCUUCUCCUUUUCUCCUUAUCUGUUUUCUCUUUUCGUCGCGUGGGCAUGUGCUUCAAGGAGGAGAUCCGGCCGCCGAGCAAGUACUGCGACUCCAGCAGCACGGAGUGGCCGUGCUUCCCCGGCAAGUCCUACCACGGCCGCGGGCCCAUCCAGCUCUCCUGGUCGCAUGAUGCUAGGAACUUCAACUACGGGCCGGCAGGCAAGGCGCUGGGCUUCGACUGCCUGCGCGAGCCGGGGGUGGUGGCCGGCGACCCGGACGUGGCUCGGCCUCGGCAGCCAUUCCGCGAGGCCCCCCGCAGGCGAGCGAGUGGACUCACGGCUGCACCGCCGCUGGCCAUAAAUCUUUAAUUUUUUUUGUUUUCAGAUAUGUAGUUGAAUGCUGAAUCUUUUCAUGUUGAAUCUCUCAUGUUGUAUAAUUUUUCUUGUAAUCUUGGGUCUCCUGUUGUAAUCUAAAUGAAGCUUUUCCGGCUCCUCAUCCCUUUUCUUUCUGCUCUUAGAUUUCUUCCCACCGCCAUCUACUUAUCUUUUUUCUCUGUUCUUGAUUCUUGAAGAGCAGAGGAGAAAGAUGAAGGUGGUAGAAACAAAAAUGAGAGGGGAGAGAAAGAUGAGGAGCUGGAGAAGCAAUCUAA